UGGGGAAUAUUGCACAAUGGGCGCAAGCCUGAUGCAGCGACGCCGCGUGAGGGAUGGAGGCCUUCGGGUUGUAAACCUCUUUCGCCAGUGAAGCAGGCCAUCUUCUUUGUGGGGUGGUUGACGGUAGCUGGAUAAGAAGCGCCGGCUAACUACGUGCCAGCAGCCGCGGUAAUACGUAGGGCGCGAGCGUUGUCCGGAAUUAUUGGGCGUAAAGAGCUCGUAGGCGGCUGGUCGCGUCUGUCGUGAAAUCCCCUGGCUUAACUGGGGGCUUGCGGUGGGUACGGGCCGGCUUGAGUUCGGUAGGGGAGACUGGAAUUCCUGGUGUAGCGGUGGAAUGCGCAGAUAUCAGGAGGAACACCGGUGGCGAAGGCGGGUCUCUGGGCCGUUACUGACGCUGAGGAGCGAAAGCGUGGGGAGCGAACAGG
rnacentral:rRNA from 1 species